GGAGUCUGGACCGUGUCUCAGUUCCAGUGUGGGGGACCAACCUCUCAGUUCCCCUAGACAUCGCGGUCUUGGUGGGCCGUUACCCCGCCAACUAACUAAUGUCUCGCGAGCUCAUCCGUAUCCACCGAAGCUUUCAAAACAAGGAGAUGCCUCCUCGUCUGUUAUGCGGUAUUAGACGACGUUUCCAUCGCUUAUCCCCCUGAUACGGGCAGAUUGCUCACGCGUUACGCACCCUUGCGCCGGUCGCCGCCAAAGUAUUGCUACCUCGCGCUGCCCCUCGACUUGCAUGUGUUAAGCCUGCCGCUAGCGUUCAUC
rnacentral:rRNA from 1 species